CAUUUUGAUCGAUUGCACAUGUCUAGUGGCAAAAUUCGUCAUUCGCUCCAGCUGAUUGCUGUCAUGUGACACACGCAACCACAAGAAAACGGAAGCGAGACGAGCCAUGUGGGAUCCUUGCUCCUGAUAUCCUGAAGUAUGGCUUGCAUUUCAUUAUAUGACUCCAACAGUACACUCACAGAAAGGAGAGUGGUGUCAAACUACAAGACCGCCAGCAUGUAAACAAGGCCUUUGUUUGUCCUUGUUUGGCUACUCAUUUGUCUACUUCCUGAAGAGGCUGAAGCAUGCUGGCAUUGACACCUCAGUCCUUGCUUCCAUUAACAGUUGUGUUAUGGAGCAUAUCGUCAUAUCAUGGUCUACUGCAACGGCAAUUGGCAGGCAGUGUGCUGUGAGGACUGCUGCCCUGAUUCAUACAGAAGAAGUUCCAAGCCCGCAAUGGGCUCCAUCAACUGUCCAGGGUGAAGUCGGUCUGUACUGAUUGCACUACCUUCUACUUGAUGAUGUCUGGUAGCCGUGGCUACUGCCCUCAACCUGGUACACUUGACACUUGACAUUUACUGCCAAAAGGUACCAUCAGAGCACCUCUCUGCAGGACAUCUAUACCAGAAGAGUACAGAGGCCCAAAAUAUUUCAAAAGACAUUUCACACCCUGACCAUGGACUGUUUAAACCACUGAGGUCAAGCAGACGUCUCUGUUCCCACAUGGCUAGAACAGACUGAGAAGGAGUUUCUUUCCUGAAGCCAUCUGCAUCCCGAUCACACAUAACUCUUUAAACUACAUUAUAUAGACUUGCCAUACUGCACUUACACACACUGCUCUGUUUACCACCUGAAAAGAUUGUUGGUGCAAUGUCUCAGGUUUUGUUCAAAUCAUGUCUACUGUAUAUCAAGGAUGGUUCCCAAAAUCAACGCCUGUUCGCCAGGCUCAUUUUCUGCAAGGCCCUUGAUUUGGGGAAAAGUGUGAAAACCAGUGACAUUAAGGGUAUGAACUUCUUUUUGUACACAUUUACAUACUAUGGGUUAUUAAUGUUGUGCCAAUAUUUUAGCUCUCCAUAUAUAAUGUUGACACAAAAAUAUGUUUACAAGGCCCAUAGUAUCACCAGUUUUGCACCUUGUUCCUUAUCUAGGGCCUCAUAUAAAAUGAAUGGGUAUGCACUACAAACAACGGUCCAGUCAUACUGAGAACAUGUCUGUCUUUCAUCUUCCACCAAGUUUGGACAAGCUAGGAACAAUAUUUUUUAAAUAUAUCAAUGCCUAAAGAUGGCCUCCAAGAUAAGGAAUUUCUGAGAGUGAAAAUGAUACAAAAUCAAGGGUUAAAAGGGGUAUGGAAUUAUAAAAUUGAGCAAAAAUAUUUUACAGGUCUUGGUUUUGGGACUUAAAGGUAGUCAAGAGCAAAAUCUGAGACGGUGCAGCAACUGUUUUCCUGGAUUUUAUCUGACUUCAAACAGAAUGACCACCCUUCCCUAUCGUUAAAUUACAUGUAUUUCUAAAUCCUUCUUUCUUUAUCCUGUACACCUCUGCACAGGCAAGUUGAGAAGCUGAAUGCCAGUUCUCUAUGUAUUUUACAAUGAUAUCUCUGUAUCUGACAAUUCCUUGAAUCCUUGACAGAAGGCUCAAUUUUGUAUUGUGAUAUUUUGUGAUGUCUACAGAAAUAAAAAAUACUUGUUACCGA